UUUUAUGAGAGUUUGAUCCUGGCUCAGGACGAACGCUGGCGGCGUGCCUAAUACAUGCAAGUCGUACGCUUCUUUUUCCACCGGAGCUUGCUCCACCGGAAAAAGAAGAGUGGCGAACGGGUGAGUAACACGUGGGUAACCUGCCCAUCAGAAGGGGAUAACACUUGGAAACAGGUGCUAAUACCGUAUAACAAUCGAAACCGCAUGGUUUUGAUUUGAAAGGCGCUUUCGGGUGUCGCUGAUGGAUGGACCCGCGGUGCAUUAGCUAGUUGGUGAGGUAACGGCUCACCAAGGCCACGAUGCAUAGCCGACCUGAGAGGGUGAUCGGCCACAUUGGGACUGAGACACGGCCCAAACUCCUACGGGAGGCAGCAGUAGGGAAUCUUCGGCAAUGGACGAAAGUCUGACCGAGCAACGCCGCGUGAGUGAAGAAGGUUUUCGGAUCGUAAAACUCUGUUGUUAGAGAAGAACAAGGAUGAGAGUAACUGUUCAUCCCUUGACGGUAUCUAACCAGAAAGCCACGGCUAACUACGUGCCAGCAGCCGCGGUAAUACGUAGGUGGCAAGCGUUGUCCGGAUUUAUUGGGCGUAAAGCGAGCGCAGGCGGUUUCUUAAGUCUGAUGUGAAAGCCCCCGGCUCAACCGGGGAGGGUCAUUGGAAACUGGGAGACUUGAGUGCAGAAGAGGAGAGUGGAAUUCCAUGUGUAGCGGUGAAAUGCGUAGAUAUAUGGAGGAACACCAGUGGCGAAGGCGGCUCUCUGGUCUGUAACUGACGCUGAGGCUCGAAAGCGUGGGGAGCAAACAGGAUUAGAUACCCUGGUAGUCCACGCCGUAAACGAUGAGUGCUAAGUGUUGGAGGGUUUCCGCCCUUCAGUGCUGCAGCUAACGCAUUAAGCACUCCGCCUGGGGAGUACGACCGCAAGGUUGAAACUCAAAGGAAUUGACGGGGGCCCGCACAAGCGGUGGAGCAUGUGGUUUAAUUCGAAGCAACGCGAAGAACCUU
rnacentral:rRNA from 1 species